GGAGGAAUACCGAUGGCGAAGGCAGCCCCCUGGGAUAAUACUGACGUUCAUGCUCGAAAGCGUGGGUAGCAAACAGGAUUAGAUACCCUGGUAGUCCACGCCCUAAACGAUGUCAAUUAGCUGUUGGGGCACUUGAUGCCUUAGUAGCGAAGCUAACGCGUGAAAUUGACCGCCUGGGGAGUACGGUCGCAAGAUUAAAACCCAAAGGAAUUGAUGGGGACCCGCACAAGCGGUGGAUGAUGUGGAUUAAUUCGAUGCAACGCGAAGAACCUUACCUGGUCUUGACAUGUACGGAAUCUUCCAGAGACGGAAGAGUGCCUUCGGGAGCCGUAACACAGGUGCUGCAUGGCUGUCGUCAGCUCGUGUCGUGAGAUGUUGGGUUAAGUCCCGCAACGAGCGCAACCCUUGUCAUUAGUUGCCACCAUUUAGUUGGGCACUCUAAUGAGACUGCCGGUGACAAACCGGAGGAAGGUGGGGACGACGUCAAGUCCUCAUGGCCCUUAUGACCAGGGCUUCACACGUCAUACAAUGGUCGGUACAGAGGGUAGCCAAGCCGCGAGGUGGAGCCAAUCUCAGAAAACCGAUUGUAGUCCGGAUUGCACUCUGCAACUCGAGUGCAUGAAGACGGAAUCGCUAGUAAUCGCAGGUCAGCAUACUGCGGUGAAUACGUUCCCGGGUCUUGUACACACCGCCCGUCACACCAUGGGAGUGGGGGAUACCAGAAGUAGGU
rnacentral:rRNA from 1 species